UUUAAUGAGAGUUUGAUCCUGGCUCAGGACGAACGCUGGCGGCGUGCCUAAUACAUGCAAGUAGAACGCUGAAGGAGGAGCUUGCUUCUCUGGAUGAGUUGCGAACGGGUGAGUAACGCGUAGGUAACCUGCCUGGUAGCGGGGGAUAACUAUUGGAAACGAUAGCUAAUACCGCAUAAGAGUAGAUGUUGCAUGACAUUUGCUUAAAAGGUGCACUUGCAUCACUACCAGAUGGACCUGCGUUGUAUUAGCUAGUUGGUGGGGUAACGGCUCACCAAGGCGACGAUACAUAGCCGACCUGAGAGGGUGAUCGGCCACACUGGGACUGAGACACGGCCCAGACUCCUACGGGAGGCAGCAGUAGGGA
rnacentral:rRNA from 1 species